rnacentral:misc_RNA from 1 species
GCCAAAAUAAAAAAAUUAUUGCUGGAGAAAAUUUUGUCAGUCAUUUACAUAGCAAUAAGAACAUACCUUUUCUCUUCUUUGUGGCUUUCUUUUCUAUAUCUCAAUAAUCCACAAUCAGAACACUAAACUGUACAUGAACUGGCAUUAUAUUUACAGCACCAUUUGGCCAGUCCCAAAUAGCAUUCUCUACAGCAUAUAUAAUUCGUUGGUCCUAGUUGUUUCUAUGCACAUGAAAGAGUUUAUUCCAUAAUACAUUUUGAUGAUAAUUCUCCUUUUACAAAUUUAAUUCUUCCUUUCCAUAGAUACACUGAAGCUCGAGAGUUGCGACUUGAAAUGAUUCUGAGAAGAAAAAUGGGAAAGAUAUGACACGGCAUAGGGUCAUCGGUGCCACUAAGAGUUUGCAAAAGGCAAAAGGGUUUAAACUUCUAAGCCCCCUUCCUAAUAAAAUAAAAUAAAAAAUCUAGUGCAAUUUCUUAGAAAACGUUGAAGAGCGUGGUUGCUACCAUAGUUCCCCUUUUAGAAACCUGCUCAAGACUGUUCCACAACUUCACAAUGGCCUUUACAAAAUAUAUGCUUCUAUGCAUGCCGAAUGAGUGCUCAAAUCCCAAAGAUUCAAUACAAAAAGAAGAAAACAACCCAUUACCUUUCCAUAUGCGAAAAGAUUUCUGAUAUAUAGGUGCUCCAAACACAGUUUGAAUUACAUCAAAUAACAGGCUUUCAGGAGUGCCCCUUAAUUCUUGUACAAUCUGAUAGAUGGUCUUUCCAUUCUCAAAGUAUAUAUGAUUGUUCGGAUGUUUUGUCUUGCAACCAGCAUGGCGUUCAAACUCAUAUGCAUUAAGCACCUUGGAGUAGUUACAUGAUUGACAACUACAGAGAUAGCCAGAACCUUUUAUAAUGCCAUGAAGCUCCUUUUUACAUUCACCACAUAAUGUCAGUAAAUAACAAAUCUGAUAAACAAAUAAACAAGCAUAAGGAGAGGGGAAAAAAAAGGACCUUACCUCCCUCGACAAAGAAACCUACUUUACAUGGACCCUAUCCAGCAUACCAGUUAAAAUGAAACUUCUGACAUUUGAAGGGAAGCUGUUUGGAGCUUCUUUUCGGGUUGUUUUGACCUCUUGUUUGUUCCUGGAAACAGAUUCAGGUUUUGACUUAGCUACCUGGGAAUUACUUGGAGCUGCAUUGGCAUUUGAUGCAUCCAAUUCUUUUUCAUGAACUGCUUCUGGUGUUUAAGCUGAGGAUUUAUUGUAUGUUUGAUCAUAACUGUUGAUGGUUGUGCAAACACGUAUAAUAUCAUGUGCAUCAUGAAAUCCCCCGAAAGAUAUCAUAUUGGCAUCUUCUUUACUGUAGGUGCCACUUAUUGGAAUAUUGUCAUCUCCUUUGAUAUAUGCAUUACAUGUUGAUACAAUGUGGGCAUCUCCAUUGUAGCUGUGACCCAUUAAUGGGAUAUUGCCAUGCUUCUUAUCAUAGGCCUGCCCCAUUGGUAUAAAACUACUUUCAUCUUCCCUAUUAAAGGUAUGACCUGUAGAGAUAUCACUGUUACUCUCAUUGAUAAAACUGUGUCCCUUUGGAUCAUGCAUACCAUUGUCCGAGCCCUUAACUUGAUUGACUUUUCGAGCCCUUAACUUGAUUGACUUUUAACUUUUCUAAAACCAUUGUAGCUAAGACGCUUCAGCAUCUUCCAAAUUGUGAGAUAUAGAGAGACUAACAAGUGCAUUUGAGUCAUCUGUUCCAGGACACAUGGCUCUUUCAGAAACUUGCUGUUUCAGGUGCAAAUAACCGGUGAAUAAAUUGGUUUGGAACUGACUGAAAACCAGUGGAGUUAUCCCAAGAAGAAAUAUUUGCACUGGAAAUUUGUGAACUUGACGUGCUGUUAUGUGUUAGCAGUGCUUGCUUCUUGUUUGAGAACAACUCAGGUUCAGCUGCAUGUAAAAACCACUGGUGAGACCGUUUAGGUUCAACUCUUGAAGGAUUAUCAAAAGAUGAAUCUCUUUCAGCAACACUUGCCAUCCAAAAACACUUGUCCUGAAAAGACUGCCAGAUAUUAGAUCAGAAGUUGCUUCCUUCGUUCAUAGGCGCAUAUGCAUGUGCAGAUACACAAAUAAAACUUCAUAAGGAUAUCAGAAAUUAUUUCUCAUAAAUGGAAAAAGAAAAAGGAAACAUGGAACAACUCCUCAACAGGAGAACCCAAAAAAAGAAAAUAAUGAGAAAAAUUCAUGUUCCUCCAUAACUAAUAUUUCUACAAAUUUUUAAAAUGUCACUAGAAUACUAUUCCGAUAUCUACUCAAACUAACAAGGUUUCUCAACUUGCAACUUU